GUAGAAAAGCAAAUUUAAUAUUUAAUUUUAUCAUUUAUAUCACUUCAUUUUGAUUUCUAGAAAUAUGAAUCCAGCAAAUUAAUUUCUUUAAAAAUAUCGGAUUACAACUCCUAUAGUCCCUGAGAAAAUAUUCCUAAAAAUCUACGCUGCUUAUAUUCACAGUCGUUUUAAAAGUUUUUAAAAAUUCGCAAUUUACCUGGUAGAUAGCUUAGAAUAGCUUAGAUAUGUUCUUAGAAAACUCAAUUCUACGGCUGAUAUGCUGAAAAGAAUGUUUAACAGUCCACGUUUUUUGGGACCUCUUUAUCCUUGAAAAUAAAUUAUUAAAAGGUCAACGUUUUGUGGCUCCGCUGGCUCUUGAACAAUAUUGAUGAGUUAUGACCCUAAGGGCCUUUAAAAAUUUGCUCUUAAAAUAUCCACAUAUGAAGCUAUGAUGGUCUUUUAAAAAAAUAUUCUCUAAUCUAAUCUCUAAUCUACUUUUUGGGGCAUAUUUAUGACAUUAUUUGUCCAUAAAAUCCAGGUUGUCUUGGAAAUCCUGGUUUUUGCGGCUAUAUUUGUCCUUCAAUGGUGUUUUCAAAAAAGUAUUUCGAAAAAUAAUCCUAAAUAUCCUUGUUCUGUGACUGUUUGACCUUGAUAAAUAAUCUGAAAAAUCCAUGUUUUCAUAAAUAUCCUUUAAAUUCCACCUUUUGUACUUUGGUAUCCUUUGUGUUAGAAAAAUAUUCCUAGAAUUAGCCUUGUGUUGAAAAAUCAAGAAUUCUUAGUUUGGUAGUCCUUUGAAAAAUGAUUGAAAAUUCAAAAAAAAGUAAUAAAACUGUAAGUUCGGCCGGGCCAAACUUUGAAUACACUCCACCAUUUGGAACGAAUUUGACAAUUCUCAAAACAAUAAAAUUUGUUAAAUCUUAAAAUAAUUCUGUUAAAAUCUUAGAAAUACCAAAUGUAGCUAUUAUAUUAGGGUAUGUCCAUACGAUGACGUGGACCUGCAUAGGUAACAUAUGCUUAUGACAAAAGCCAUUACAAUAUUCAAAUGCGAAACUUGAAUAAUGAAUAAUGUAGCUAAAGUCAUCAAAAUACCGAAUAUCGGGAGGUACCGUUAUAUGGGGGCUAUAUGAAGACGAUGACCUCCACAGAUAAUUUUCUGUCGUAGGCUGUAGUAUCCAUUUCGAACUUCAAACACCAAAUUUGAAACAAUUCCGGUAAAUAAUGUCGCUAAAAUUAUCAUAAUACCGAAUAUCGGGAGGUACCGUUAUAUGGGGGCUAUACCAAAAAAUGGACCUACAUGGCCCAUUUUCAAUACCAAAAGUCCUGCAUACAUAAGAUACAUUUAAGUAAAAUUUUCUCAAUCUACUUCAUUUCGUUCGGAAGCUAGAAUGAUUUCCACAGACGGACAUCGCUAAAUCGACAUAGAAUUUUAUGCUGAUCAAAAAUAUAUAUACUGUCCAAAUGUAUAUUUCGAGGUGUUACAAACGGAAUGACAAACUUAAUAUACCCUUCAUACUAUAGUGGAGAGUUUUCAUACUCGUUUAAUGGCUUUGCAGUCCUUUGAGAAAAAAAACAUUCAUAAAAAACACGUAUUGUGACAUGGUUAGUCCUUGAAAAAUAUUUUUAAAAAUACAAGUAGCUGUUAUGGUUCUUAAAAAAUGCUAAAACUCCACAGUUGAAGCGCAUCAUUGAUGCUUUAAAAAAAUAUUCUUAGAAAUUCCAUAUUUUAUUAUGAAAAAAUGCCUCUUUAAAAUCAACGUUGUCAUUGAUAAAAAUAUACUUAAUACUCCUUGUAGUCUUUGAUAGUCCACAAAAUUUAUUUAUUUGAUAUUUCAAAAAUAUUCUUAAAACAUCCACAGUUA